ACAUAAUGGCUAUUUUAAUCAAUACUAAAAUGAAACAAGGCAUCCAAAACUUAAAACUUACGAAACAAAAACGAGCAGUUUGUGUGUUCUAGAAAUCACCCAAGAAAAAGAAAAAAUAAAAAUGCCUUCUUGCGAUUUCCUUCUGUCGUGGUGCAACAGCUCUGAAACGCCUUAUCAGCUCUGAAACGCCUUAUCCUUUGACAAUUCAUCAAUUGCAAACUCACUUUACGAGCUGCUUCUUUAGCAGCUCUGAAACGCUUUAUCCUUUGAUAUUUCAUCUUCGCUCGUGGUGCAACACCGUCUCCUGAUGGUGCGACGUACAGUGGAGGCUGACGUGGUGGGGGCGGCGCCGGAGGAGGAGCAGCCUGAUGGCAGACGUGGAGAGGGUGGGAGAGCUGGGUGUGGCUGGCCAGAAGUCUUAUGA
rnacentral:lncRNA from 1 species